CCAAUAUAAAUUCCCUGGUGUUGAACAAAGCUUGAGCAACUGCUUUAGGAUUUUCCUCCAGUACAAAAUGUGUGCAAUAAGAUCUGUGAUACUAGUAAAUGUACUAUGUAACUCCCUUUAUAUUUGUAAUGCUUGUCUUCACAAUAAAUACUCUUCUUCACUUUAAAGGCUUAUACUUUCUGAAAGUUUUUUUUGACAGUAAUUGCCAUUUUAAUGCUUUUAUUAAAAGGAAGAUUUUUAUGUUGAGUUAGAUGUGAGUAGGAAUUAAUAAGCUUUCCAUAUUCCUUCUAUUUGUACAAUUUUUCUCAAGGAUACUAGCUUUUCUGUGAGAUAAGGUGUAAGAACUGAUUAAAAGUUUUGCCACAUUCUUCACACUUGUAGGAGUUUUGCCAGUAUGAAUUAUCCUACCUACAAUCAAGUGUUGCAACCAUAUAAAGGCUUUGUCACAUUUUAUAUAUUUCUAGGGUUUCACACUAGUAUAAUUAUUGUUAUGUGUAGAGAAGUUGGAGGUGUUCGUAAAAGCAAUGUCACAUUUUUUAGCUUUGCGGAUUUCCUCUUCAGCAUGAAUUAUCGCCGUGUCUCUUAAGAAUUGAGAACUUGUGGCCGGGCGUCGUGGCUCACGCCUAUAAUCCCAGCACUUUAGGAGGCCAAGGCGGGUGGAUCACCUGAGGUCAGGAGUUCGAGACCAGCCUGGCAAACAUGGCGAAGUCGCAUCUCUACUAAAAAUAAAAAAAUUAGCUGGGUAUGUUGGAGGACACCUGUAAAAAAAUUAGCUGGGCAUGUUGGAGGACACCUGUAAUCCCAGCUACUCAGGAAGCUGAGGUAGGAGAAUGGCUUAAACCCAGGAGGCAGAGGUUGCAGUGAGCCGAGAUCAUGGCACUGUACUCCAGCUUGGAUGACAAGCAUGAAACUUCAUCUCAAAAAAAAAAAAAAAAAAUUGAAAACUUGUUAUAGGAUUUGCCACAUUCCUAAAACUUGUAGGAUUUUUGUCCAGCAUGAAUUAUGUGUAAGAAGGGUUCAGAACUUCCUAAAAGCGUUGUCACAUUCUUUAUAUUUGUAGGGUUUAUGUUCCAUAUAAAUUCUCAUAUUUAGUAAAAGUUGAUAGCUGGUUAAAGGCUUUCCCACAUUCAUCAAACUCACAGGGUUCUCUCCAGUACGAAUUAUCUUAUGUCUAGUAAGGGCAGAGGUGUCCUUAAAGGCUUUGCUGCAUUUUCUUAUUUGUUGGGUUUCUUUCCCGCAUGAAUUAUCUAAUGUCUACUAAGGUUUGAGGAUGAAAGAAAGGCUUUGCCACAUUUAUCACACUUGUACAGUUUCCCUCCAAUAUGAAUUUUCUUAUGUGAAAAAAGCAUAGUGGGAUAGCUUAAAGCUUUGCCACAUUCUUCACAUUUAUAGUUUCUCUCCAGUAUGAAUUACCUUAUGUGUAGUAAGGGUAGAGGGGCACUUAAAGCCUUUGCCACAUUCUUCACAUUUGUAGGGUUUCUCUCCAGUAUGAAUUCUCUUAUGUCUAGUAAGGAUAAAGGAGCGCUUAAAAGCCUUGCCACAUCGUUCACAUUUGUAGGGUUUCUCUCCAGUAUGAAUUCUCUUAUGUGCAGUAAGGUGUGAGGACGAGUUGAAGGCUUUGCCACAUUCUUCACAUUUGUAGGGUUUCUCUCCAGUAUGAAUUCUCUUAUGUGUAGUAAGGAUAGAGAAGCACUUAAAGGCCUUACCACAUUCUUCACACUUGAAGGGUUGCUGUCCAGUAUGGAUUAUCUUAUGUGUAGUAAGGGAAGAGGAGUACUUAAAGGCCUUGCCACAUUCUUCACAUUUGUAGGGUUUCUCUCCAGUAUGAAUUAUCUUAUGUGUAGUAAGGUUAGAGGAGCGCUUAAAGGCCUUGCCACAUUCUUCACAUUUGUAGGGUUUCUCUCCACUAUGAAUUAUCUUAUGUGCAGUAAGGUAUGAAAACCGGCUAAAGGCUUUGCCACAGUCUUCACAUUUGUACCGUUUCUCUCCAGUAUGAAUUAUCUUAUGUGUAGUAAGGUGUGAGGACCAGUUGAAGGCUUUGCCACAUUCUUCACAUUUGAAGGGUUUCUCCCCAGUAUGAAUUUUCUUAUGUGUAGUAAGGGUUGAAGACUGGUUAAAAGCUUUGCCACAUUCUAUACAUUUGAAAGGGUUUUUUCCAGUAUGUCUUAUCUUAUGUCUGUUUGAAUUUGAAAAUUUAUGAAUGACUUUCACAUAUUUAUCACACUGAAAUAUUUUGCUUUGAGUAGUUGUCAAAUAUUGGUUAAGUCCAUUAUAACCUCUUUUGUGCACCUUACACUCAUCUACACUUUCACAGCCCUUUUUAAACUGUAAAUUGUCAUGUCCAUAGUUUUCAUAUCUUCUCAGUGUCACUUUUUGGAAAGAAUCUUUUAUGCUCUGC
rnacentral:lncRNA from 1 species